rnacentral:piRNA from 2 species
UCCCCAUGGACCUGGACCUCAGAGGCCU